UCGCCGCACGCCGCCGGCCCCAAGUCGCGCGCCCAUUGGCCGGCUGCCGUGGCAGUGAGGGAGGGGGCGCUGGGGAUCUCUCGGAGCGUGUGCAUCCCAUGCGGGGGAUUCGCGCUUGAACAUAUGGCCCCAGGCAAGUCACAUCGGACCCAGAAGCCCAGAUUCCCAGGAGCACUUGCGGAGUAGAGAGAAGCUCUUUGGAAGGGACCCGUCGGAGCCUCGAAUGGGUGCGAGGGGUUGAAAGCACCGAACUGGGCUUUGCCAACUCAACCUGCAAAGUCUCACCAACGCCCCCCGUCCGUGCCUCAGUUUCUCCUCGAAUUCUGACAUGGCUACAGGAAUGCUGUCCGCAGGACAGGCGCUUCGGAGGGUUGCUCUCCCCGCACACUUCCUCCCUAUCAGGAGUGGGUCCUGGAGGGUCUGCGGCUCCCCAGCGCGCACAUGCACGUACCGUGCUGGGCCCCUGCCCCGCCUCGCUUUCCCGAGUGCAGGGGCACAAUCAGCUCCAGCUUCCUUUCACCGCCGACGCCACCCCAAAGGCUGUGGGUACCUGGGGGACGAGCGCCGCGGAAGAGCUGGACGCGAGGGUGAGGUGCAUGAGGGGAGGGCAUCGAGGAUUAGAAGUUGGGAAGCACUUCCCCACCCCCUGGGGGAGGUAGACACGCGGAACCCAGCAAGUCAGUCAGUACCCUCUCCGGAGACUUCGGGGAGCUUACGCCAUUGCGGAGAGGCAGAGGGAUGGACAGGUGACCUCCCUACUCCCUGGCGUUUUUCGCUGUCCCAAGACUGCGCCACCCACGCAGCGCCCGCGCACCUCCAGCCGCGUGGGGUGGGUGUCUCAGCUCCCUCCCGAGCGGGUUUCGGGAAGCGAGCUGGGGAGGAGAGAGGGCUGCUGCGCUGUCGCCUCCCAGGUUGCCCUUUCACCGAAUCCGCGCACCAACUUGUGCAAAUGAGGCCGGGCUCAUUUGCAUUUCAUGCUAAUGAGCAGAUCCCUUAAGUGCCUUUCCCUCCUGGUGGGAAUCUGCUCUCAUUCUGCGUGUGCUGCGCCAGAAUCUUGAACUCGCGGCAGUCUUCUGGGAUAGAAGCCUAUUUAUGGUUCACUCCACGUGUCUGACACCUUCUUCCCUCCCGCAGGUCCACAGUCUGCCUGGUCUGCCUGCCCUCCCUGGAAGGGUUAGGAGUCCCCAGGGCUGGUACCUGGAGGUAGUGAUUCUAAUCAUCACUCUUUGCAGAGUGGAAAAUGAGGCCAGAGAGGCUUGCCCACCACAAUGGUCAGGUUUCCUGGUGGUCAGCAGGCUCCACACCUUCAACCAUCAUCCAGGCCAACCCCCUUCUCUGAGCUGAACUCUGUUCUAGAAUAUACUCAGCAAGGGGAAGGGGCUGACACAUUCACCAUUGGGACAAAUUGAGACCCACAUUUAGUUCCUUGGACUCUGGGCAUGGGGUGACCUGCCAGCGAAGACAUGGUGAUCCCUGUGUGGGGCCACCAAGGGACUUGGAACUCUAGUCAGAGAUGCUCACUCUUAGCCUGAGUAGGGGAGAGGAGUGGAGACGCAGGAUGCACAGACAAGGCAAAGGAAACCGAAACCAUCUUUAACUCUCACCCUCCAAGCCUCAGCUGGGACAUCAUCUCCUCACAGGGGUCUUCAGCAAGUAUCACACUGCCCACUAAGUCCAAGGCGCUGAGCCAGACAAGAGCCUAGAACCUCACAGCACCUCACCCAGGCUGGGGUUAUAUGUUAGUGUGUUAAUAAUGAAAUAAUUGUCUCCUUCUCUAGGUUCUAUGUUCCCUGAGAGCAGGGGCUUUGUCCAUUUUGCUCACCAGGGCCUAGGGCAGUGUUUGGCACAUAGUAGGUGCUUAAUGAAUCUGUUAGAUGAAUGACUAAUUCCAGGCAGGGAGGGGAAACGAAGGGAACAAGAAAUUCCUUUCUCUGGGCCUCAGUUGCCCAACAAAGAAGUCAGGCCAAAGUGUUGUCUAAGACCUCUUCUGAGCUCUCAUCCAGCUUGCUCCAGCAACCUUCCCUUCAUGCCUCCCUCACAGCCUGGCUGGCUCCCUCAGGAACUGAGAUAAUCUUCCCAUCUGUGAUGCUCUCUGCUCAGCAAUGAUACAUCGUCCCAUUUAGUCACCUCACAGCCUAGAGAGUUAGGUGGUGGUUGUCCCAUCCCAUUUUUUAGAUAAGGAAACUGAGGUUCAGAUGAAAUUACUUAAGCGACUGCCCAAAUUGCAAGGCUGUGUCUCUAAGCCCUAGCCCUUGGCUCUGCCAGGACAGUCCUGAUGGCAGGGAACGGAACAUAUCCAAGAGGCACUGUAAAGGGGAAGAGGAGCUACAGACUUAAAAUCCCACAUUUGAGCAGAUUUAUGUUAAGCCUUGUCCUCUCUAGAAAGUGCAAGAGAACUAACCCUUUAAGGCCUUCUCUCCUUUCUCUGAACCCAUUUUCAGAAUCCUGUUGUCAGGUGUGUGCCUGGUCCCAGGGAAAGAGGAGACUACAGAGUAGAAGGAAGACUGGAUGGAGGGGCAGAAGACACCAAGUGCAUCCUCCUUCACAGCUAUGCCUGCACCUCCUAGGGGAAGAGGAAGCCUUAGUGGUUUUUACUGUAUCCUAGAGGCUCCAGAAAGAACCAAAUAUGUUCAGAAGUCUCAGGCCACUCUUACCAUCUCUGGGUCUUGAAUCCCUAUCUGUAUGAGGUUGCCACCUCAUUCAUGAGGGUCAAUAGGAUGAAAAAUUCAAGAGAGCUUUGCACACUGCCUAGACCUUUCCAAAGCCAGGGCUAGGGCUGCCAAAAAGACCACCUGUGCUUUACCACACUCUACCUUCCCACCUAGCUGACCCCUAAGACCAGGCUCAGCUUGCCCAGUCCUCAGAUUUCAUGGCAAGGCUGAGCAGCCUCCAGCCAGAAAGGAACCAGCUGACUUUGUUGGCUCCAGCCCUAAUCCCCUCCAGAUGGGCUGGUGGCUUGCACUGAGGGCCCAGCUGCCCAGAAAAAAGAUGACCCUGGUCCCAGUAACCAUGUGUAGCUGGGUGUGACAGUGCACAGGGGGUGGCCAUGGUCCUGAGCAGACCUCAGAGUGACUCAGUCCAGUCUCCCAACUCCUUUGCAUCCCAGUCCUACUGCUGGCAUCCCCACGGGUGCGGCCCCAUUCAGGUCCCAUCUCUAGCAGCCUCUCCUGGCUAGCUGUACUACUUGAUUAUGGUGCUGUGAGGGUACCCAGGCUCAGCAGAUCCCUGAAGCAGCCAGGGUGGGGAGGGGGAAGCCCCUUCCCCUCGUCUGUGACUGUUAGUCCCAUCACCCUACACCUGUCCUUCCCAAAGCACCCUUUCUAGCUUCCCACACCCUGUGGAAGCUAGAUGGAGUUUCUGGGACCCCUGAAGGUGUGAGUGCCAAAAAUGGGCCUUGUGAGGAUCUCCCAACAUUGAGGUUACAGGAGGAGGUCACAGGAAGGCACUGGCUUUCCCUGCAGCAGGAAGGACUCAGAUAUGGAGAAUGACUUCUAACCCAACAGAUGUUCCAAGUGAGAGAGAACUCCUUCGCUGGACUGGCUUAUGUGAGAGCACAGGGGUGGACGAUAUGACCUCCUGCAGGGAACCUUUGGCUGUAUCUUUAAGAGGCCAGAGGCUGGCUAGAUAGCCCAAAAGAAAUGUCCUUGGUCCCACAAGAACCAGCUCCCACAAGGCCCCAGAGUGUGUGUAAAUGCUGCCAUUCCAUGAAAAAUAAAAGCUCACAGAAAGCA